AGUGGCGGACGGGUGCGUAACACGUAUGCAACCUACCCAUGACAGGGGGAUAGCCCGGGGAAACCCGGAUUAAUACCGCAUAAAGCAGGGGGCCCGCAUGGGCAUAUUGCUAAAGCUUCGGCGGUCAUGGAUGGGCAUGCGUCUGAUUAGCUAGUUGGCGGGGUAACGGCCCACCAAGGCUACGAUCAGUAACUGGUCUGAGAGGAUGAUCAGUCACACGGGCACUGAGACACGGGCCCGACUCCUACGGGAGGCAGCAGUAAGGAAUAUUGGUCAAUGGACGGAAGUCUGAACCAGCCAUGCCGCGUGCAGGAAGAAGGUCCUCUGGAUUGUAAACUGCUUUUAUCCGGGGUUAAGAGGGGGCUAUAAGCCCCUGUGAAGGUACCGGAGGAAUAAGCCACGGCUAACUACGUGCCAGCAGCCGCGGUAAUACGUAGGUGGCAAGCGUUGUCCGGAUUUAUUGGGUUUAAAGGGUGCGUAGGCGGCCUGUUAAGUUAGUGGUGAAAUCGCACCGCUCAACGGUGUGCUCGCCAUUGAUACUGACGGGCUUGAGUGCGGUCGAGGGAGCUGGAAUGCGUAGUGUAGCGGUGAAAUGCAUAGAUAUUACGCAGAACGCCGAUUGCGAAGGCAGGCUCCUGGGGCGCAACUGACGCUGAGGCACGAAAGUGUGGGGAGCGAACAGGAUUAGAUACCCUGGUAGUCCACACCGUAAACGAUGGUUACUAGAUGUCC
rnacentral:rRNA from 1 species